AUCUGAAAUUACUAUUUUUCUGUUAAAUUCUUUCAUACUCCAGAUGAUAGCUCAAAGAUUGUCCUCUGGGACAAAGGGAGGGAGUAUGAAGUAAAGCUACCAAAGUUAGGGCUGAACACCCUUCAGUAUAAAGAAUAACUUUUCCUUGGGCAAAGUCAAACACUUGCUGAUUCUGCUGUGUCCAUGUUUGAAUGUCCUAUGGAAUGCUUUUCUUUACCAACUGAUUUAAUUUCGAUGCUGGUUUUUAAUUGGCAGAACACAUACCCCAAACUUUGUAUGGCAAAUUUAUACAGUUAAGAGCUUUCCUGCAGGAGGGAUGGUAAGAACCCCAACACACCAUAUAGCUGCAGCCAGUCACACACUCCUCUGCAGGAUGGCAGCCAGACAGCACAGUUUAUUCUGAAAUUCCUGUUCACUGGGAUCUGAUACUUCAAGCAGGUGUCACAGCAGCACUGGCAGUCACGGAGCAGUGUGGGUGCUGUGGCAAGAUAACCACUGCUAGCUUAGUUUCACCAACUUGCAACUCUUGAUUACAGAUCACAGCCUUCACCAGUAAGACAAGUUCUUCAGCAAGAGAAAACCUCCCACCUUAAUAAGGACCUUGUUACUUCAAUAGCAGCAAAGCAUUUCUGCAGAGCUACUCUCGAAUCUUCCAUGUGGUUGCAAGAAGAGGACUGACAACUUCUGGACUUACCAGCCAAGCAGCUCUACUAGAUGCUGUUAACAGCACCCACUUUUUGCAGAUCUGCAGUGGGCAGAAGACUGAGACUAAUCUUACCUGCUGACUUCCUGAGUACAGUCAGUAGUUUCCUGGAGCCACUCAAGCUUUGUGUGCCCAGAGCUUUGUGUGCCCAGUACCUGCUGCACCAGUCAGCACAAGGCCACACAGCCUCCAUAGCUCUUGAGAACACAGUGAUCAUCAGGUGUGAUCCACAACUGAUGUGCAAGAGCCAUGACUUUAACAUCUUCCAUCUUUAUUCAAAAGCAUGUACAAAACAUGGCACACGAAAAUAUGCACCAUUCUCAGAAACAUUUGUUAACAGAAACAAGUAUUGAAAGCAAUGAAGAGAAACCUAUUUUCUAGUUUAUUUCUGCUUAUCUUGAUAUUCAAUAGACCGGUCACUUCUUAAUAAGCAAGCCAUAGGAGAUGCUCAGUGAGCCAAUACACUCCUGAGGUUCAGUAAGAUCCUUAGCAUCCACUUCAGUAGGCUGAUGGAUACUUAUUUUUGACAUUUCCAAUGCUUUAUGUGCUGUUCCUGGUAGUGUUUAUACUUCAUACUACUUUGUCAGAGAAAUUUGUCAUUGAUGAACAGCUACCCCCCAUGACCUAUAGGGUUGUUCUAUUUGCCAUCUGUUAAAGGUGGGACAGUUAUCUUCUGUUAAUUGGGCAGCUCUCUUUAUCUCUUCAACAACCAAUGCUCCCCCCAGGAAGAUAUCUUCUAUUAAUGGGCCUUUGAGUCUCACUGCAUGACUGAUAAACUUUCAUCACCCCAUUGUGAGAAGCUCCACCUAGAGAGAGUGGCCAAACAUUCCCACCUGGAUAUAAUCUGAGACUUUGGAACACCAGUCAGCCUCUGGAUUCCCAGAUGAUCACCAGGCCCAUGUACACCACCACUGGACCUUCAGAGGAAUUCCACCCUUCUACAGGAUCACUGCUCCAACAGAACGACACCUGACAAUCCAGGAGGACUGCAGCCACCAUUUAAUUGGGCUGCUACCAACACCCUGACCAACAAGGCUGUCAGGCUGUAUUCUGACUCUGUCAGUGUUGUUUUGUAUUACUGCAUUUUUAUUCUUACUUUUAU